GACGAACCUUCCAAACGUUAUUCGGAAUCACUGGGCUUAAAGGGUGCGUAGGCGGAGAGGCAAGUCAGAGGUGAAAGCCCACGACUCAACCGUGGAAGUGCCCCUGAAACGGCCUCUCUCGAGGGAGAUAGGGGCGUGCGGAACUCAGAGUGGAGCGGUGAAAUGCGUAGAUAUUCUGAGGAACACAGGUGGCGAAAGCGGCACGCUGGGUCUUUUCUGACGCUGAGGCACGAAAGCUAGGGGAGCAAACGGG
rnacentral:rRNA from 1 species